rnacentral:rRNA from 2 species
GUGGGUAGUUUGACUGGGGCGGUCUCCUCCUAAAGAGUAACGGAGGAGCACGAAGGUUGGCUAAUCCUGGUCGGACAUCAGGAGGUUAGUGCAAUGGCAUAAGCCAGCUUGACUGCGAGCGUGACGGCGCGAGCAGGUGCGAAAGCAGGUCAUAGUGAUCCGGUGGUUCUGAAUGGAAGGGCCAUCGCUCAACGGAUAAAAGGUACUCCGGGGAUAACAGGCUGAUACCGCCCAAGAGUUCAUAUCGACGGCGGUGUUUGGCACCUCGAUGUCGGCUCAUCACAUCCUGGGGCUGAAGUAGGUCCCAAGGGUAUGGCUGUUCGCCAUUUAAAGUGGUACGCGAGCUGGGUUUAGAACGUCGUGAGACAGUUCGGUCCCUAUCUGCCGUGGGCGCUGGAGAACUGAGGGGGGCUGCUCCUAGUACGAGAGGACCGGAGUGGACGCAUCACUGGUGUUCGGGUUGUCAUGCCAAUGGCACUGCCCGGUAGCUAAAUGCGGAAGAGAUAAGUGCUGAAAGCAUCUAAGCACGAAACUUGCCCCGAGAUGAGUUCUCCCUGAGACUUUAGGUCUCCUGAAGGAACGUUGAAGA